rnacentral:misc_RNA from 1 species
UUUUUGUCAUUCAACUCUGUUAGACACUACGUCCACAUCAAGCAAAAGGAGAGGAUAAUUAAAAAAAAGAAAAAUUACUAGCUUAGCCAGUUAUCAGUAGAUGCAUAAGCGACUCUGGAAUCCUUAAAAAAUAAAACAGUCAAAUCCAAGUUAUUGUGUAAAGAAUGUGGGGUCUACACUAGAAUAACUUUAUCAUAAAAGUUUCAGCAUUUUCAUAAAAAAUAAAAUUUCAGCAUUUAUCCAAUCAUCUUCAACCAUACAUACAGUUUAGCACAAAAGAAAAGCCAAAUAAAUAUUGAUCCACUACCCAAAAGAAGCAAAUGAAGUCGGGUAAUUCAUAUAAAGCGAAGUGCUUCAGAUCAUACCAGAAAUCAAUUCCAAUGAUUUA